GUGGGAGCGCUGCGCAGGCCGGCGGCCGAGACCACGGCGAGGCCAGCUAGCUCGCACGCCAUGGCUGGCUGGCCACCUGGCCCUCCACGCGUCAGCUCGUCCCAGACGGCUUUGCACGGCCGGCCAUGGCGAAGCACAAGCAGGGAGGUGGCCGGAUUGGUUAGAGAAGAUGGCAUCGCCCCAUUGAUGCGCAGGCUCACAGUAGCGUGAGGCACAACUAACGGCUGAGACUAACGGAAUGGUAUAGAAGGGAUGGAAAAUUAGAAACCAAUGGCAUUGAAGGGAUGACUAUAUUUUCAAUGGCACAUAAGGGAUGAAUCUAAUUUUUGGAUGCCAUACAGAGAAUUAACUCUUUUAAGUUUCUCAUAGGUCAGAUCUCCAUGUUCGAGAGGUCGACCAAUAUAUAUUUUUUUUGUGAGCACGGUACUGCAUCUUAUUUCUUCCCGGUCACAAAGUAACUUGAAUGUAGCAAUUUUGAAGGCACGUCCUUGGAACCUGAUGAAGCCCUAGGUAUUUGGAUUCUGCACCCGAAAAUAACAUCUGUUUACCUAUAAUUUUGUUAAACUAACUAAUUUUAGAAGUAAUAUGUAUUGUGGUUGUCAUGUAGACAAUUUCAGACAUUUUAUAUGCCGGCUAAUGGCUCUUGGCUCUUGGUUAAGCUUAAUGUACAUUGGGUGUUAUUUUUAGGGGAAAUAUCAAAUGCACAAGUGGAGAGUUGACAGUUCUGGGUUUCCACUUAUCCAUUAUGGGUAAGUUUGGGCACUGGACUGAAUCCAAUUUAUUUCGGACGGGGCACACUAACAUACACAUGACCGUAGGCACGUGAUGCAUACUAUUUUCUCCAUCUCAAAUUAUUAAUUAUUUUAGUUUUUCUAAAUAUAUAAAUUUUGUUAUACACCUAGAUAUAAUAUAUAUCUAGAUACAUAACAGAAUCUAUGUACCUAAAAAAACAAAAUUUCUAUAUAACAAAUGAGCUGGAUUUCGGGCAAGACCACGGUAUCCACGUCGUCCCGAAUUCAGACUACCAUCUAAUCAAGCAUCUACGGCGCUUAUAGCUCUCGCUGACCCACCGUCUCGUCUGUCUCCGUGAGCUCCUUUCCCACUUUCCCACUGCUGUUUCAGUUUUUUUCAAUGCUGUCUUCAUCUUUCUCUAUUUCACACCGAUGCUCGGGAAACUUGACGUGCUCGGGAAACUUCCUACUGACUAGACCAGAGAAAGAUGAGGUUGGAUCCUCACGCUCGUCCAUCGCGUCGCCACUAAUCCUCCCCUCCCCCCAUCCCCGCACUGCCGCCGCCCGUCCCCUCCACCACGCGCUGCCGCCAUCGCCACCGGUCCUCCGUCCCGCACCGCCGCUGCCCUCCGUGCGGCGAGGCGGAGCUCAGCAACGGUUCUUGGCGCGGCCGGCCUCCAACGGCGGCCCGACCUCACCCGCGGCGCGCCGGGUGGAGCUCGGCCCCGACUGGUGCCUCCCCGGCUGUUGCUCUUGGCGGCACGGUAGGAGGAAAAGCCCGGCGGCGGCGGCGGCCGGAUCCGCGGUCCUCCUCCUUCCAGCCACGCCCUGCUCCUCCGGACGCGCCUCCUGCUCCGACCGGCACUCUCCGGCGGCGGAUCUGGAGCUCGAGCUCCACGGCCUCCUUCCUCUGUCCUCCUCACUUUGCUCGACAGCUCCGCUGGGCGUGCCUCCCUGCCGCGCCCCCUCGCCGCGCUUCCUAGCUGCGCCCCGGCUUGCACGGCCUCGGCGGGACGGCGCACGCGCGAGGCUGCCCACAGCGGGACGCCACUAGGCCGCCGCGCGGCGAGACAGCUCAAUCGGCCACCGGUGUGCCCCCGCCACGGAGCAGACCGGCGCCGCUGCUGCCGGCUCCGAUUCCGCCCGACCCCGUGGUCCUCCGCCGCUAGGGAUGCCCCAGAUGAGUUGGUCCUUCUCUCUUUCCCCCCUAUCUGCAGUCUCCCACGCCCCAGAACGCCGGCCGGCUGGCCGGCCAGUGCCGCCGGCAGCCAUGGACAGGAGCUCUUUUGAGCUCCUCUGUUUAUGGCCCUAGCAAAUAACUGGUUUAUUUGCUGCUAUCUUGUCAAAAGUUGACAUAUACUACAAUAUUCCUUCUGUAAUAAAAUUUAGCAAUCUUGUCAUGGUUGUCUGAUCUUAAUUAUAACAACAUUGUGGAGAACAAAAGAAUGGAAACUCCUUUUUUUUUUAAGAGUGAAUGCGAGCUAUUUAUGAAGUAAGCAGAUGGCAUAACUGUCAACUGCACAAAGUCAUAUGAUUUCGAAGGAUACCAGACAUUAUUAGAAGUCUGUCUUAUGAAGUGAUGGCACUGUGAUCGAAUGAGGGAAUAGAAGAACUGUCAUUCUUCAGUGCUGAGAGCAACAAGGGAAGAAUAGUUCAUGACGAGAUGGGCACCCACGCUUUAUUUUUUUUACAACUAUUUGUUUUCAGACCAUACAGUGUUUAACGGCUGCACUGACAUUUCAUCUACUUCACCAGUUUAGUACGCAUUUACUCACAAACCAAGUUUUCUAGCUAUGAAGUCCACUGGUGGAAAGUUGCUUGUAUUUCAGUCAGUGUUUCUACAGAAGGCCACCAACAUUACCCAUGCUGAUGCAUCAUUAGGGAAUGAAAUUUGUUCAGUAAACAAAUCAGUUGAAGCUUCCCUUUCCAUCCAGCAACAACCUCACGGAUGUGUUAUUAGCAUGGAGCAUUGGUCAUGCUUUCGUGCAGAAGGCUAAAUUGGAGAGCCUUUAGAAGCGGCUGUCGUUUUUUGCAUCUUAAAGCCCCAUAAAUUGGAAAGCCUGUAGAAGCAGAUGCUGCACAGAUUCCUAAGGACCAUGGUGGUAUCACCAUGUUUUCAAUCUAGAAUGCUGACGACAAAACCUGAAGGAUAGGAAUCAAUCUUGGAACAAUUUUUUGAGG